ACAAAUUUGUUUGUGAUUUGCAGAGGAGCGACGCUACAUUUUCUGCCGUCAUUCUUUUGGAUUUCAUUUAUUUGUUCCUUUUUCCCAUCCUUAUGUGUUUGCCGCUCGGCGCCUGGAGGAGGAGCUGAUUUCUGAUUGAUAUCCUUUUUUUAAACAAGUAUCCACUGGAGAAUUGUCAAGGAAAAUCUGAUUUUACUGUAUUACUACUCUGUACAAAUUAACUGAAUUAUA
rnacentral:lncRNA from 1 species